AAAAAAAACACCCCCCCCCCCCCCCAAAACUUACAUAAGGGAAAGAACUGCACAUUUGCAGUUAAAGAUAUUAAUACUGUAAGAUUUAUUUCCAAUUUUCUAUAUCAAACAGAAUUAAUUAAUGACCACUAAUUAAUUUGUAAUUUUUUUUUAUGAUUCCUGUUUUGUUAGGAACAAUGAAUAAAUGUGCAAAGUUUCCACUUGAUCUGAGAAUGGGAAGUUGGUGAAAUAAUGUGUACACACUUUGUACCAGACAGACAGAGUGAGUUGUUAGAAGCUUUGUAGCUAAAAUGAAAGGUGCGUUACUAGAUUAUUAAUGGGACCAAACCAUUCUUUUAGAUUACAAUGGUAGUGCUUAGUGCAUCACAGUCAAAUGAUCAAGCAUAAUGAUCAUACAGCUUUUGCCUGCAACAGAGACCUGCCCGUAGAGGGCUGAAGGAAGGAGAGAGUAUAAAAGGUGAGGGUAUUUUGAUAAAAUACUGUUUAGAUUGAAAACUACUAGCUGUACAAGUGACCAAAAAAUAAUGAAGACCAAUAAUUUGUUUAUUUUGUUUCUGCUUGCAGACCUUAAAUAUAGAGCAAGUGAAUUGCACACAAAUAGACAUAUAGUUGUGUGUUUUGUUAUUUACACAACAAAUACUACUUUUGAUAUUAAAAGAGAACAAAUGUUCAUUUCAAUAUAUGCUGGUUGAAUUCAUGAAAAUUGUAAGACAUUUUCAAUGUAGCUAAUAAAUAUUAGAAAGAUAUUGUAUAUAAAUAGAACAGUUUAUCUUUCUUAUUUCAAUUUAAGCCAAUCAAAAUGUACAAUACUGUCAACAUAAAAAAAAAUGCAAACACAAAGACUGUAAUUAAAACAUUUUCACAUCUCUUUUAACCUAUUUACCCCCCCC